UCCCGGGCCCGUUGAUCCCAUGCCAGGCUGCCGCCCCUCCUCCCGUUCGUGACACCCCCAAAGAAUCAAUUAGCCUUCGUUCGGUUCCCAUUGCAGGAGUUAUCAGUGGCUUAAUUGACUGAUCGGUGAAAAUGGCUGAAGAAUCCUGAAUUACUCUAGCGUCUCUUCACCCAGUGCUUCUACAAGACAACCAAUUAUAAGACAGAUGAAGUUUUCUUUAAUAUCUUUGAACCUCAGUUCUCUCAUCUAUGGAAUUAAGGAGCAAUGAAUGACUGUUAAUAACGAGAAGCCAAUUUGCAUUUCCAAUGAACCACAUCCUGAUUUCUGGGUUGGCUAGAUGCUGUGAUUUCCUACGAGAACUGGGAGCUGAGUGGAUGUUACCCAUUGAGGUCAACCAUGGUCUUGGUUUGGGAAUGAGGUGAGUGUACUGAAUGAUAUAUCCUGUUGAAUAAUGUGCCAAAUGCCACCGAACCACCUGAGGUAACAUUCAGUAAGAUCAGAAAGAUCUUGACUAUGAAAUACUGGGUUAGAGAGCAUGAAGCAACCCACAUCACGACUCCAAUCACCCUGUGUUUCAAAGUUAGUUCAUCGCCAUGAACCUGGGAAUAAACUGACAUUUGGCUGUCCCUAACAUUGUGAGAUACUCAACUUUCAUAAUAAAAUCUGCCAGUGUGCAAGUCACAACAGGGAUUCUCCACCACCCCAGUCAGGCUGGGUAAGGACCAGAAAAUCCUGCUGUGUUCCCUCUACUGUGUCAAUGACAUCCUCUUUGGAAAGAAGAAACUCAGAAGCAAAG